GCGAUUAGCAGUUAGGGUUAGGUUCAGCAGUUACGGAUAUGUGAACCUGAGAUCUUGGCGUACAUUAAAACGCGAUCAAAUGGCGUUGAAUAACACGCAAAAGGAUGAAAACGCAUACA